GGGGGCAUGGGGUAGUCAGGCAUCCUGGUGGGCUCCAGUGACCCGCGGACCUGGGUUCGAAUCCCAGUGCCCCCA
rnacentral:tRNA from 1 species